UACGUAGGGUGCAAGCGUUAAUCGGAAUUACUGGGCGUAAAGGGCGCGUAGGCGGUCAGCACAAGUCAGUUGUGAAAUCUCCGGGCUUAACUCGGAAAGGUCAACUGAUACUGUGCGACUAGAGUGCAGAAGGGGCAACUGGAAUUCUCGGUGUAGCGGUGAAAUGCGUAGAUAUCAAGAGGAACACCUGAGGUGAAGACGGGUUGCUGGGCCAACACUGACGCUGAGGCGCGAAAGCCAGGGGAGCAAACGGG
rnacentral:rRNA from 1 species